UACAGAGGGGGCAAGCGUUGUUCGGAAUUACUGGGCGUAAAGGGCGCGUAGGCGGCCUGUUAAGUCGAACGUGAAAUCCCCGGACUCAACCCGGGAACUGCGUCCGAUACUGGCAGGCUUGAAUCCGGGAGAGGGAUGCGGAAUUCCAGGUGUAGCGGUGAAAUGCGUAGAUAUCUGGAGGAAUACCGGUGGCGAAGGCGGCAUCCUGGACCGGCAUUGACGCUGAUGAGCGAAAGCUAGGGGAGCAAACGGG
rnacentral:rRNA from 1 species